UUGUAGUCUGCAACUCGACUACAUGAAGCUGGAAUCGCUAGUAAUCGCGGAUCAGAAUGCCGCGGUGAAUACGUUCCCGGGUCUUGUACACACCGCCCGUCACACCAUGGGAGUCGGGAAUGCCCGAAGCCAAUGACCCAAGCGAGAGCAGGGAGCUGUCGAAGGCAGGCCGGAUAACUGGGGUGAAGUCGUAACAAGGUAUC
rnacentral:rRNA from 1 species